rnacentral:rRNA from 1 species
AAUGAACGCUGGCGGCAUGCCUAACACAUGCAAGUCGAACGAAGGCUUUGGCCUUAGUGGCGCACGGGUGCGUAACGCGUGGGAAUCUGCCCCUUGGUUCGGAAUAACAGUUGGAAACGACUGCUAAUACCGGAUGACGACGUAAGUCCAAAGAUUUAUCGCCGAGGGAUGAGCCCGCGUAGGAUCAGGUAGUUGGUGUGGUAAAGGCGCACCAAGCCGACGAUCCUUAGCUGGUCUGAGAGGAUGAUCAGCCACACUGGGACUGAGACACGGCCCAGACUCCUACGGGAGGCAGCAGUGGGGAAUAUUGGACAAUGGGCGAAAGCCUGAUCCAGCAAUGCCGCGUGAGUGAUGAAGGCCUUAGGGUUGUAAAGCCCUUUUACCCGGGAUGAUAAUGACAGUACCGGGAGAAUAAGCUCCGGCUAACUCCGUGCCAGCCGCCGCCGUAA